UGGGGAAUAUUGCACAAUGGGGGAAACCCUGAUGCAGCGACGCCGCGUGAGCGAAGAAGACCUUCGGGUCGUAAAGCUCUUUUAUAUGGGAAGAUAAUGACGGUACCAUAAGAAAAAGCCCCGGCUAACUACGUGCCAGCAGCCGCGGUAAUACGUAGGGGGCUAGCGUUAUCCGGAUUUACUGGGCGUAAAGGGUGCGUAGGUGGUCUUUCAAGUCGGUGGUUAAAGGCUACGGCUCAACCGUAGUUAGCCUCCGAAACUGGAAGACUUGAGUGCAGGAGAGGAAAGUGGAAUUCCCAGUGUAGCGGUGAAAUGCGUAGAUAUUGGGAGGAACACCAGUAGCGAAGGCGGCUUUCUGGACUGCAACUGACACUGAGGCACGAAAGCGUGGGUAGCAAACAGG
rnacentral:rRNA from 1 species